CCUACGGGUGGCAGCAGUGAGGAAUAUUGGUCAAUGGGCGAGAGCCUGAACCAGCCAAGCCGCGUGAAGGAUGAAGGAACUAUGGUUGGUAAACUUCGUUUAUAGGGGAAUAAAGUGUGGAACGUGUACCUUUUUGUAUGUACCAUAUGAAUAAGCAUAGGCUAACUCCGUGCCAGCAGCCGCGGUAAUACGGAGGAUGCGAGCGUUAUCCGGCUUGAUUGGGUUUAAAGGGUGCGUAGGUGGGUAAUUAAGUCAGCGGUGAAAGUUUGUGGCGCAACCCUAAAAUUGCCUUUGAAACUGGUUGACUUGAGUUUAUUUGAGGUAGGCGGAAUGCGUGGUGUAGCGGUGAAAUGCAUAGAUAUCACGCAGAACUCCGAUUGCGAAGGCAGCUUACUGAACUAUAACUGACGCUGAGGCACGAAAGCGUGGGUAUCAAACAGGAUUAGAUACCCGUGUAGUC
rnacentral:rRNA from 1 species